AGAUGGUCCUUGUGGGCCGAAUGCGUCCCGCGGGCCGCGAGUUUGAUAUGCUUGCUGUAGGCACUGUAAGUGUUUAUCUCAUUGAAGUGGUUAUAGCGUCUGGAGACCCCUGGCGACAUCGUUCCAUUAAGUGAGACUCCUCUUGAUACUUAGAUGUCAGAGUGCUCUGAUUGGUUGGCUUUCUAGCCAACCAAUCAGAGCACUCUUGGUCAUAUUGCAAAUUUUCC